rnacentral:misc_RNA from 1 species
CUAAUAUAAAAUUAUAAAUAUUUCUUAUAAAAAUUAUUAAAUUUAUUAUUAAAUAAAAUGGAAUUUGUAAUAAUGUUGAUAAAUUAUUGGGAUGCCCCUGAUUAGUCUAUGCAAUUGCACGGUCCUAGUCAAAGUGUCUCCAGCACCCACAGGACAUUCUGUCAAGUUAUUUGAACUGGGUGGGUAGACUAUGACGGUGUUUCUCAUCAAAGAAGAAGAAAAUUGGUAUAAUAAGGAUAUUCUCUGGAAAAAAGGAAAAACUGAUCAAUUACAUUCUCCUCUCAAGAACCAUAUUUAUCAAUAAAGACAACAGUAUAGCACAAGCAAUGCGUAUAUAUCCACCUUUUCCCAGACACGACAGUAAUGCCAAGAACAAACAGAUAAAAAUCUGAAUCAGAUCCAGGGCACGUACUCCUUCUACUUCUGCAUCCAGCAAUCAACCAAACAGACAACAUCCACCUUGCUGCCAGAACCAAAAAACUUGGGUUUGUGUUCAUAUUCAUCUUUAUACGAAGCAAAAACAGAAAUUUCAAUUGGGAAUACUAAUUGGAUGCCCAUCAUUUAAAAUAUUUUAUCUUCUUUGAGGAUUCUACAAUACUUUGACUUAUUUCUGGGUGCUUGAAUUUCAGUAGCUUUUCAAGCUGGAGGGCAGCCUCAGGGAAGGAAUCCUCCUUGACACAAAAUUCUGAACAAAGGCCAAAAAGGACUAUAUUGACAUCUUCCUCAAGCUCAAGGCUGAAGAGGUGGGAGAAGACCAUUUUCAUCCUUUCAAUAACCAUAUCUUUAAUAGAUGAGGACCUUGAGACCAAAUUAACCACAAAGAGACCUUGCUCAGAAAGAGAAUCUUUAACAGUCAGGAGGAAGGACUCUUCCACAAAAUCUGCAGCUGGGCAGGUCAUUCCAGAGCUUGAAUCUGAAGAAUCAACAUCAAUAAUAAGUACAUCAAGCCCAGGAUUAAUACUGCCCUCUGCAUAAGACAUAACGCAACUUCCAUCUGAAGAUGACUUUGAAUUGCCUGAAGCAUCCUCAUUUCUGUGUAGGACAGGCACUCUAUCACUUCGUGCAAAAUUAUUGACCUCUCUAACAAACUCAAUUCCAUCAGCAAUAUGCACCUUCAAAAAUUUAUCUUCAGCAAAACCAAAGUAGUCCCUUGCAAGAUUAAGUAUCACAGGAUCUAACUCCACCACCUAUGGAUUGGAUAAUUUAUCAAAUCAAUCUCAUCAAUAGGUCAAAGAAUAAUAGAUGCUAUUUCCCCCUUUUCCCCUCUUGGGAUGCUGAGAUCACUUUCAAAAUCUAUAGUUACCUCAAUGUGCAAAAAUGGCAUACAUCCAUGAAGAAACAUAGGAAGUAAACCAGCCCCAAGACCUACUACAACUGUGUUAACCUGAAAUUAUUAAACUUUAGUAAUAUCAGGAACAAUCAUGAUAUUCUCACAGAUAAAAGGCAUGCACUUUAUCAGAAAAACAUAGAUACAUUCACUUUGGCAUGCAAAACAAAUGCAAAAGCACUAGUUUAAAGUUUCUUUUAGGCAUGCAACCCUUUUGUCAAACUUACAAAUUCAUAAAUGCACUUAGAUUGCAUCCUACAUCAUUGAAUUACAGCUCAUGAUUAAAAAAAAAAAAAAUCUUUUCAAGUGUGCAGUAACAAAUAACCACAAAAGUCUAAAUCAUUUAUCAGGAAACACAGUUUUGUCUCAUUGACCUAACAUGAAUCAUUGGAUCACAUAAAUAUUUGGUGAGGGAAAAAUCAAGAACAGUGGCCCUUACUGUAUUCCCAGCAGAUAACACACUUUCCAAAUAUGAAGAGAUCAACAUAAAGCCAGAAAUGAUCCCCGUAUGAUAAGAACUGGCUAAAUAGUCAUGAUAAACCUUCAGUCGGUUGCUUGGUUCAUCAUUUCGCUUCUGGUUCCCUCUUUUCUUGGAUUUGGAAGAUGAAGUUUUUUUCCUUUCUAUUUCAACAACUUUAUGGGAAGAUUCAUCACUUGUAAGAAGAGCUUCAGACUGCACCAAACCCUCUGUUCGUUGAAAGACAAGACGGCGGAAUAUCAAAUCUUUAGAUGGAAAAAGGCGACUGACAUCACCAUCAACAUUUUCAUAAACCACGUCUUCGACAAUUAUUGGGCCAGUUAAUGAAGAUGUAACCUUGUGCAGAAUAUGUCGCUGUUUGAUUCCAUCACUUGCCAUCAUGAAAGGUAUUUGUGAUCCAUUGUCAUCUUUUCCAGGUGCCAACUGUUUAACCAGCAGAGAUAAAUCCUUCUGAAUAUCAUCCAUGCUAGCAUUUGCGUGGCUGCUGUCAAGUAUAACCACAAUGAGACGAGCUGCCUUUGAGCUUUCAAUGACCAGCCAUUGUCCUUCUUCUGAAGAGAACAGCCACUCAUGAGCUCGAGUCUUAGGCACAAUGAAAACACCACAAUGAUAUGAGAAUGGGACGGAAUUGUCCUUGGCAUCUAGAAGUACAGCUCUGUAAGUGAAACGAGAACAUCCUUGCCCACCCAAAGUAAGCUGAAACCGACGGCCACGGCUAAGCUUUGUUAAGUCCCCUUUAGCUCCUAAUUGCAGAUCUUCAAGAGAGUACAAUAUGUCAGAACCACUGGAAUAUUCUCUACGAAUCCGAUUCUCAUUUUCAACAGCUUCAUGCAGACCAGCAGCCUGGUUGCCGCUGCAAUCUAGAGAACGAUGAUCAAAUGAUGAUGUUAUCUGGAGCAAAUCAGUAGAAAUAUCUUUCUCAGCAACCACCAUAAAGGUACAAAGCCUAGGCUUGCUAGAUGGUUUCUGUGGGAUAGCGUGAACACUCAUUUUCCACCCAAACCGAAACUUAGAGAAUAGCAAACCUAAAACAUGAGAUUCUGCCAGUGUAAGGCAAAUAAACUUGCCCCCAGAUUUCAAAACUCUUUGCACCUCUGACAAAUAUUGGGUCCCCAGCUUAGGGCCAAGCUCUGGCUCCAUCAAAGCAUCCAAUCCACCUUUAUCAAGAAUAGCAUCAAAUGUCUCAUCUGCGAACUGCAUGCUGGUCAUGUCCAUGACGCGCCACCGCAUGCCAGGCCGUCCUCUCACAUUCCUCCUCAGCAUAUCGGAAAUCACAACUUUCGAGAAAUCAAUAUUUGUAAUAUCCUUAAACCCCGCAUCAUACAAAUGCUCCGAUAAGCGCGAAUUGCCGCAACCAGGCACGAGAAUCUGCACCCAAAAAUUAGGAUGAAGAGUAUUAUCGUGGUCUCCAGUGGGCGGAGCUCCAUCAAGGAGGGAGAGGAGUGGCUGACGGAGCUCAGUCCACUCAGCAUACCACUCGAAAGAGUCAUCGCUGCCCCGAAUUGUGAAAAACUUAUCCCAAUUUUCCUUGCUGGUGAAGUCUCCUAGGGCUUUGAGAAGCUCGUCGGAGGAUGAUUGCGAUGGUUGUUUUUCUCUCUUCCCCAUUUUAGAUUUGAGGUUACUCAGGUUCG